CGGUUGAUCCUGCCAGAGGCUACUGCUAUCAGAGUUCGAUUAAGCCAUGUUAGUCGAGGGUGCUUUAUAUUCUUUGUGAAUAUAAGGUAGCCCGGCAGACGGCUCAGUAACACGUGGACAACUUACCCUUGGGACCGGGAUAACCCCUGGGAAACUGGGGCUAAUACCGGAUAGAGCAUCGAUUGCUGGAAUGCACGAUGUUCGAAAGCUGAGGCGCCCAAGGACAGGUCUGCGGCCGAUUAGGUUGUUGUUGAUGUGACGGAUCAACAAGCCUACGAUCGGUACGGGUUGUGAGAGCAAUAGCCCGGAGAUGGGUUCUGAGAGAAGAACCCAGGUCCUACGGGACGCAUCAGGCGCGAAAACUUUACAAUGUGCGAAAGCACGAUAAGGGAACUCUGAGUGCCUCCUAAGGAGGCUGUUCAGGUGUCUAAAAAGCACCUGAAGGAAGGGCUGGGUAAGACCGGUGCCAGCCGCCGCGGUAACACCGGCAGCCCAAGUGGUAGCCAUGCUUAUUGGGUCUAAAGCGUCCGUAGCCGGCUAAGUAAGUUCUUUGGGAAAUUUGACCGCUUAACGGUCAAGCUAUCAGGGAAUACUGCUUGGCUUGGGACCGGGAGAGGUCAGAGGUACUCCAAGGGUAGGGGUGAAAUCCGUUAAUCCUUGGGGGACCACCGGUAGCGAAGGCGUCUGACCAGAUCGGGUCCGACGGUGAGGGACGAAGGCUGGGGUCGCGAACCGGAUUAGAUACCCGGGUAGUCCUAGCUGUAAACGAUGCGGGCCAGGUGUUGGCAUUACUGCGAGUGAUGCCAGUGCCGAAGGGAAGCCGUUAAGCCCGCCAUCUGGGGAGUACGGCCGCAAGGCUGAAGCUUAAAGGAAUUGGCGGGGGAGCAC
rnacentral:rRNA from 1 species